rnacentral:rRNA from 1 species
CCUACGGGUGGCAGCAGUGAGGAAUAUUGGUCAAUGGGCGGGAGCCUGAACCAGCCAAGUCACGUGAGGGAAGACGGUCCUAUGGAGUGUAAACCUCGUUAGGCGGGGAGCAAGGCCGGGCACGCGUGCCCGGAGGGAGAGGACCCGCAGAAGAAGCAGCGGCUAACUCCGUGCCAGCAGCCGCGGUAAUACGGAGGCUGCGAGCGUUAUCCGGAUUUCUGGGGGUGAAAGGGUGCGUAGGCGGAUUUUUAAGUCAGCGGUAAACUGUCCGGGCUCAACCCGGGCCGGCCGGGGAAACUGGGGAUCUUGCGUGGGCGAGACGUCUGCGGCCUGCGUGGUGUAGCGGUGA